rnacentral:rRNA from 1 species
CCUACGGGCGGCAGCAGUCGAGAAUCAUUCACAAUGGGGGAAACCCUGAUGGUGCGACGCCGCGUGGGGGAAUGAAGGUCUUCGGAUUGUAAACCCCUGUCAUGUGGGAGCAAAUUAAAAAGAUAGUACCACAAGAGGAAGAGACGGCUAACUCUGUGCCAGCAGCCGCGGUAAUACAGAGGUCUCAAGCGUUGUUCGGAAUCACUGGGCGUAAAGCGUGCGUAGGCUGUUUCGUAAGUCGUGUGUGAAAGGCGAGGGCUCAACCCGCGGACGGCACAUGAUACUGCGAGACUAGAGUAAUGGAGGGGGAACCGGAAUUCUCGGUAUAGCAGUGAAAUGCGUAGAUAUCGAGAGGAACACUCGUGGCGAAGGCGAGUUCCUGGACAUUAACUGACGCUGAGGCACGAAGGCCAGGGGAGCGAAAGGGAUUAGAUACCCGAGUAGUC